rnacentral:rRNA from 1 species
AGAGUGAACGCUGGCGGCAGGCCUAACACAUGCAAGUCGAGCGGCAGCACAGCAGUAGCAAUACUGUGGGUGGCGAGCGGCGGACGGGUGAGGAACACAUCGGAAUCUACCUUCUUGUGGGGGAUAACGUAGGGAAACUUACGCUAAUACCGCAUAAGACCUGAGGGUGAAAGCGGGGGACCGCAAGGCCUCGCGCGAGAAGAUGAGCCGAUGUCCGAUUAGCUAGUCGGUGAGGUAAAGGCUCACCAAGGCGACGAUCGGUAGCUGGUCUGAGAGGAUGAUCAGCCACACUGGAACUGAGACACGGUCCAGACCUCCGUACGGGAGGCAG